rnacentral:rRNA from 1 species
UACGAGGAGGGCAAACGUUGUUCGGAUUUACUGGGCUUAAAGGGCGCGUAGGCGGCCGAGUAUGUCGGGGUUGAAAUCCCUCAGCUCAACUGAGGAAUUGGUUCCGAAACUGCUCGGCUUGAAUGCAUCAGGGGCGUGUGGAACUCCAGGUGGAGCGGUGAAAUGCGUAGAUAUCUGGAGGAACGCCGGUGGCGAAAGCGACACGCUGGGGUGCCAUUGACGCUGAGGCGCGAAAGCUAGGGGAG